CUUCCCCGUGUUAACUCUCCUUCCUAGAAUGGCACAAGACAAGCUUGGAGAAAGAAUAACGUGCUGCUUUCUCCCUUUAAAAAAGCGUCCAAAGAUAUCGUGAUGUUGGUUUUCCUGGUGCUUUUGGUAAUUCAGAUAUUUUACUGGGCUGUUAUGCACAUGUUAGGUUUUCAAAGGAAUUGUGGGGAUCUCCUUUUUACCCUAAGCUAUGCUGAUAUAUAUGCUGUAAGCGAUUCGUUCAAGUCUUUACUACAAUUAAAUGUUAGACGUUAGAGGGUCUAGUGAAACCAUUGUCUGGCUAUCUAUAUGAGUGUCUGAGUAGAGAGUGGAAAGUCUUCCUUCUUUUCCUCCUUCUUAUGUUGCAACGUGAUGUUAACAGUAGAGAAGCAGCCGUCCUAAAGCGGGCAGACAGAGGAUGGUGUGCGAGUCUAACUGAAUGUACCAGAAGACUGGCGUAGAAACUGGAGCUGACCAUACAAGGAAUAGGCCAAAAGGUAGGGACCGUCAGGCAGGCUCUGAGUUGAGAAAACCCACAGUCAGGGGUAGGGUGUAAGAAUGGUGCCUGUGGGCAGGUUGAGACUUUUGAUUCUGGGGCAGAGGUUGGUUGACUUAUGGAGAAGAAAGGGAAUACUCUACUAACGCCACCAUUAGUGAGCUGGCGGCCCCCCCCUGGUGACAGGACAAAGCAUCAGGUGAACUGAGAGGGACCAUUCCCCAAGGUGAUAAGAAAGAGGUUGGCUGGGAGGAGAAUCAGGAUCCAGUUUCAUAGUUGGAAAGACAGUGCUUGUUAAACUGGUAAGUUGAAGUAAAGACAGAAGUGAAAGGCACUUAGUUUUGGAGAGCUGAGGACAGAAUGAAGUGAAGAGUUCAAGUUGCAUGAAGUGAGAGGCUCCGGUAGGCUGGAAUUUCCAGACCGGAGGCUUGGCUAAGACAUCUCCAGCCAGGUGUCUGCUGUGUACCUGUUGGGAGUUUGUGUGUGUGCAGGUGCCGGCCAGUGGGCUCAAAGGUGCCAGCCAGCUUGGCCAGGAGCCUGAGGGCCACGGAAGAAGGAUGCAUCUAGAAUUCAACGUGGCCUUAAAAGUAUGAGGAAGGUUCUGGUUCAUGUGUAGAAAAUUGCAAGAGACCUUCACACCUCCUCUAACAAUGAGAAAAAGCAACACAAACACAGAUGUUUUUAAACCGGCGAGAGAGCCAAGGACACAAAGAAAUCUGCAUAAAUGAAAUUUCAGAAAGUGACAAGCCCUUCCUAGGAGAGAAGCAACCCAGGGCUGCUCACCCCUGGCAGAGUGGUAGGAAGAGGAGAAGUCUGUCACAGGCAGAGUGAGAAGAGAUUAGCCCAACCUUUAGCCAACUUUGGGUGCCUGCCUGUUUCUUUAGAAAGGCAAGAUCCCCAGCCACCAAGCAAGCCUCCACCACCUUCUGGGUCUUUCCAGGCACACAGGGGUUGUAGGGAGAGUAGGGCAAAGAAGCACGUAGAGGUUCCCAUUAAGGUGUGUGUGGCCUUUGCUGAGAGCAAGGCAGCCGCCUGGUGAAGGCUCACUGGGAACAGGGCCGGAGAGCUGAGAGAAAUCCUGUCGUGGCUCUGGAGUGUUCUGUACUCACCAUCCAAAGGUUGAGGGCAUCCUGAAGCAGGGCAGGGAGAUGGUCAGCAGUGCAGAAAGCGAGGAGCGGUGAUGGAGAAGGAAGGGAGUUUCUUCAUGACCCAGAAAGAUGCCUGGCUGACUUGAAAGCUGAAAGAGACAUACCCCAGUUUGGAAAAUCGAUGGGUUGACUGCAAGGCAUAAAGAAAUCUCUGGAAUCUCAUCAGUGCUCAGAUCUCAAGUCGUGCUGAAAGAGUCCUGACCCCACCCUUAAACUACUGAAGCCAGUGGUGAAUUGGAAUGAAAGCUGCAGUAACUCCAGACCCAAAUCAGCUGUGGAUGGCUGACUCUGUGCCCCUGUCCCCAACAGUGAUCUUGCCAAGAAGGGGCAAGCCCUUUUCUGUGCAUAAACAUUAUUGAUUCAGUCCCCGCUGUUCCUCUAUACAAAACGUUCACCACAAAAUAAGUUCGAAGAUAAAUGAAGAAACAAGUGAAUGUGACUCUUGCCCACGAGGGGAAAUAGUCGCUGGCCAGAGGUAGACACGGAGAGGGUCCAAUUUUGCAAUUUAUCAGGCAAGAUUUAGAUGGUUAUGCUAAGCAUAUUCAAGGAUCAAUGGAUAAUAUGCGGAAACAGGUAUGGAAUUUCAGCAGCAAUGGGAACCUUUUUUUUGUUUUUUGUUUUGGUCUGUGUGUGUGUGUGUGUGUGUGUGUGUGUGUGUGUGCACGCAUGCGUGUAGGGGCGGGAGAAUCUAGAAAGUCAAAGUAAGACACUAUACUUAGGGGUAGGACUUCGUACCUGAGAGCAGUAUUUACUCUGCCUGUUGUGCCAGUGUGGUUCCUAGUUGUUAAAUAUAGAAAAACAGAAACAAAGCAAAAGAAAACAAAACAAAAAAGCAAAGCCCCUCAGGCAGUUCCUGGGCUGGAGGAAUCACAGCUCAAUCCUGGAUUCACUUCCUUUUCUCUCUGAGUAGGUGUGUCUGUGGUCGGGUACCAGUCCACGCAUUAGGUGAUGAUUCUUUGUCUUUUUUCCUCAGCUUUGGAGAAGUCACUCAUUCGAAAGGGCAGAUGCACCAGAAGAGAAUGUCUGAGUUCCAAAGCCUCUAUAGAUAUUUUGAGAAUAUUUUAUUUUCUUUACAGUUUUUUUUUUGUUUUGUUUUUUAAACGUAACAGAGGUUAAGGUUCAUAGCCUGGGCUUGUGCAUUUUUGCAUACGUCCAUCAUGAAGGCCUCUUUUCUGAAGUUUUCUCAGUGAAGACCACCCCUCCCCCACUUUCUUUUUUACAGCAUUAGAAGUACUGUAAUGUCUUCGCCAAGAAGUGUCAAAGGGUCCUCUUGGUAUCAUUGAAAAAUUGAGUAAACUGUUCUGUUUUUUUUUUCCCCCCAAGCUGCAUUCUUCUCUUCCCUAGGAAGUCGGUUUGACCUUUCUUUCUUUUUUCAUUUCUUUUUCAAUUUUCUUUCAUUUGAAGAGGAGUGAACUGGUCCACACAAGACGUGACUUUACGUUGUGCCUUUCAGGGAAGGACAAAUAAUGAGUCUGAAACAGACCCCAAGUGCCUGCUGAACUUAAGCCUUUUCUGGGAAAUGGAAAAGGUGCUUCUCUUUAUUUACCUGCCAUUACCCAGUUUGAAAAUUGGUCGUGGUCACCCAUUUUUAUGCUUCCUUGUUCAGCUCUUUAGAAUAAAAGUGUUAAAUCUUUAUUAGAUGUUGUUCUUGGGGGUGGACCCAACCAGAGAAAAUUUGGUUGGAAAUUAGGGCCAUCUGUGUAGUUUGCAGGGCCCAGCGCAAAACGAAAAUAGGGGACCCCUCGUUCAAAAUUAUUAGGGCUCUUUGAGAUGGUGACAGCAGAACAUGGAACCACGUGUGGAGCCCUUGUAAGGCUGGGGUCCUGUGUGACAGCUUGCAUGCCUGUGAAGCCAGCCCUGCAGUUAGGAUGAUCUCAGCUUCUGGUUCCUUAGGAUGUUGUUGACCUUCCACGAGGAUGCUCAUCCAGGUAUUUUAGAAUCAUGGUGUUAAUUAAGGGAGAUGAAGUUUUGGAGCCUAGUUAUUAGGAAGGUUGUAUGGCCAGGAUAUGAGGCUGUGCAGGUUUUACACUGCACAAUUCGAGGGAGUACCAUUUACAUUCUGAGUCCUAGCUUUAGACGAUUAUUAUGGCGUUUUUUGUUUUUGUUUGUUUGUUUUUUUUUCCUGGCACAUGCCAAAAACGGUCCCAAGGACAGAAGGAAGGCUUUCUAUAGCGUACAAAGAUGCUGUUUGGGCAAUAGGUAGCUAUUCUCGCCACCUUCCUUUUCCCUACCCAUUAAGAUUUUCUCUUUCCUGUACAGCUGUAAUUUGUCUUUGUGACUGUAAGUGCCCACGUGACCUCACAGACCCAUGUCUCUCUGUCUUUUCUCUUGUUUCUUCUCUCUGUCCUGCUUUUUCCUUCCCCACCUCCACUCCCCUUUCUCUCUCUAGCCUUUACUUUGCCUCCCAGAAACCUGGAUCCAUAGAAAGUCUCCUGAGGCACAGGCAUUCGAAAAUCAGGCUGAAUUUUAUUGUUUGUGCCUUCUAAAAUCCUCAGUUCUAAAUGGGAGAGGGGAGAUCUAUAACAAUUUAAAGGAAACCCUGUGAACAGAUGGUACCCAUCUCAGCCACCCUUAAAGCCAGUCGCUUAAAAAGGAGUCAGGAAUUUGAAACUACAUCCCUGGGGAGUUCAUUCUAUGACAGGGGAAUAGGAAUAGAAUCCCCAGGAGGACCGUCUGAUCCGCAGGCCUUCAAGGUGAGGCCUCGAGCAUAGGUUCUCUGAGCUGGAGGGGAUCUUGGAGACAGAGUAGAGGUUCCACUUUGAGGGGCCCCACGCUAUGAGAAGGGGCUGCCAUGAGCCCCACUCGUAGCCCGUCCAGUGCUCUAGAUUUUCCGCCGGAGCCUGUCUGGGGUCCGUAUAACCUGGGCCAACCCCAGGGGUGUUGCUGGAUGAGGACUCUGACAGAGGUGGACGUGGCUGACCAACCACAGGACACGGGGCGAGUUGCACACCUCAUCACCCAUCCUGUCAUCCCUUCACCGUUGUCCCGGGCAUCAGGGCAAGGACGGUUUCGUUUGCCUGCUCGCCCUCUCCAGAGAAAAGACUUCUCCCCUUCCUCGGGGCUGCCCUAUGACGUUCGUUGUCACCCGGUUUUACCUGCAAGAGAAAUGUUCUCAAGAAGGAAGACGAAAAGCCAGACUGUCUGUAGGGCUCCUUUAUUCCCCACAACAAAGCUGCGGGCUGGCCAUUGUUGGAAAACACUCCGUGCUUGGACACGAGCCGGCUUACUGUUGCUGCUCCGGAGAAAACGAAAGCUUCUCCGCCUUCUGCCUUGAACCUGAUCACCAAGGCCUGUGCGCUCCUUGUAUCUCCAGCAGGGCCACAGAGCAACGUGUCUGCCUCCAGUUCAUGAGAAGGUUCCGCCGGCCUUCCUGGAAGGUUUAACACUGCACAUUCUCGGUCUUGUAAUUACCCAUUUUAAUCAUUCCUCUGUCUCAAGAUUGCAAGCCCCUGACAGGCAGCUUCUCUGUCUCGAUCAUCUCGGCGCCCCCUGCUGUCUGCCCCCGGAUUGGGCACGUGGCAGGUGCCCCGUCCAGGAGCUCGCUGGUGAUGCUAAGACAUUCAGCAGUCAGAUCCGGAACAGGGCUGCGCAGAGGCACCCUGGGGUUUAGUCUCACCUGGAAUUUAGAGUAACGCAAGGCUGAAUUCUGCUUAGUCAAACUUGACAUCUGUGGCUGCAUUUCUCAGAAUAGCCCAGCAGAGAGAACACGGAGGCUCCUGCCAAAUCUGUUGAUGUCAAGGAUGACAACUCCAUAUGCUAAGAAGCAGAAAGCCCCAGUUGUACUGUUCACUCUUGGUCCAGGAUGCAGAAGCAAUGGAAGGGAGAAAGAUGAAGCCUGUCUGGCAUCACUUUUUUCCCCCGUUUCCCCACCAGACCAGGAAGAGAAGAAAAUCAAAUUUUAAAAAUCAAGGUGGCAUGAUCGCCAUUUUUAAAAAGUCCUAGAUACCAGUGUUAGGGUGGUCCUUUUUAUUUUUUAUUAUUAUUUUUUUACAUUUUUUAAAAUGUUUAUUUAUUUUUGAGAGCGACAGAGACAGAAUGCGAGUGGGUUAGGGGUGGAGAAAGAGGGAGACACAGAAUCGGAAGCAGGCCCCAGGCUCUGAGCUGUCAGCACAGAGCCGGACGCGGGGCUCGAACUCACGCACCGUGAGAUCGUGACCUGAGCCGAAGUCGGACGCUCAACCGACUGAGCCGCCCAGGCGCCCCAGGGUGGUCCUUUUUAAAUCCCAGAAAGGUUAAUUAGUAGCUCGUAUGGAAAAAGCCUUGGGAGCCCCUCAUCGGGACCAAUAUGGAUUUCAUUUUUUAAACAAAUGGAAUCUUCCAAGUCCCAAAGGCCAUAGUGGUCAGGAGCGCCUACGAGCGAGGUGUUGAAAACUGCUGUUUUUCAGAUGAUUUGGUCAAGAAGACACACACGCACCCCCACACAAAACAAAAUUAAACAAAAAAAAUCUGUUUCAAAAUAGUUUGGCUUUCCAUGAUGUGCUCUUGAUUUAUUUACUCUAGCUGGGAGGCAGUGCAGGUCCGUAGCCAUAGACCUGUUCCAGCAACAAAGAAGAUGACGUCCUCAGACCUUGAAUUUGUCACUCUGUGAUCCCGUUCCACCUGAGCCCCUGACGAGGCCCGUGUUGGCCUCCUUCUUCUGUAGACGGCCGUUUCUGCACCUGCACAACCCACAGGCUCCAACUAUUGCAUUCGCUCCAGGGCACAUCCUCACAUGACUCUAACCAAGGUGUUUAUUGUCAACCCGUAAAUUCAGGUGGUUCCUCGGAGGUUGGGAAAAUAUGUUUAUUUGUGCUGUGCCUUCGAGAGCUUGGAAAUGUGGCAACACUGUGGAGUUGUGGGAGCGGCUGCUGAGCACACUGCCAGCACCGGUCUGUUCUGCGGUCGAACUAUGACCACAAAAGGCGAGGUCUCUGCCCUUGCGGAGCCGAUGUUCCGCUGGCCAGUGUAGAUGGGCUCCUUGCUCUGCCCCCCGGGAGCUCUGUGACCGUGAGGAAGCACUGUAACCUCUCUGUGCCGGGGCGUGUUUUCAUCUCCUGAAGGCUAGAGUGAGAUCCUUGGAAGGCUUCGUGCUCGAUUCACCCAUUUCCACUUUGUCCCUCUUUCUCUCUCGUUCAAACGGCGAGAAUCUGAUCGCUGUGAAUAGGAUCCAAACUGGGUAAAGUGUGAGCCUGAACAAGUUGAAGGAUCUUGUAGAUAAUGUGACUUUUUGCUUUGACGGGAAAGUAAGUGCUUGGAGGCUUCUAUUUGAUGAACACAACAGAACGGAACGAUGAAGCAAACUUACCUUAAGGACUCCUAGUAAACUCCUUUGGCUUCACCCCAGGAGCAGAAACAGCCGAUGGCAGUGUUGACUGGUCUCUGAAGGAAAGGCAGAGCCUUAAAUGAACACUUGAAAUCUGAGCACUCUACUGUUGGUCCCUGGUGGUGUUCACUUGGCCAGAUUCCUUUGGGGCCGUAUUCCUUUCUCUUCUUUGGGCUUCAGAGCCCGUUGCCAUCCAGAAUUGUGUCUCCUUUGCGAAGGAAGUUAACAGGCACGGAAUCUGGCUCAGUCGCGGGAAUUCAUUUUAGCUUUGAGCACUACUCAGACAUUUAUCCACUAAAGAAACCUCUGCUCUGGGCCUGGCACUAUUGUAGGCACUGCGGAUGGAAUCGUGAACAAAACAAGGAGCAUCCUGCUCUCGUGGGAUUCAUACUCUAGAAAGGAGAGGUGGGAAUUAACAAGCAGAUGAACAGAUUAAUAAUUUCAGAGAACCUGAGAGGGCCGUGAAGAGAGUCGUGCCGGGGGUGCGUGGGCAGGAGUCGCCGCUUGGGGUUUGCGGAGGUUCAGACCAAAGCUUUCACGUGAAUGUGAAUGAGCAGCACUACUCCUAAGAGCGAAAGGGAGGACGAAACCCAAAUGUCCGUCGGCGUGCGAACGGAUAAACCAGAUGUGGUAAUUAGCCAAACUGGAAUGUUAUUCAGCCGUCAAAAGGAAUGAAGUGCUGAUGGAUGCCCCGGCACAAGUGAACCUUGGAAACACGCCAUGUGAACGAAGCCAGACACAAAAGGCCACAUACUGUGUGACUCCGCUUAUACGAUGUGUCCAGAAUAGGGUGAAUCCACAGAGGCGGAUGGGACACGCAUGGCUGACUGGGGGGCUGGGGAGAGUGAGGGAUGUGCGCAAACGCUAACGGCUGCGGGCUUUCCCUUCGGGGGGAUGAACAUGUUCCGGAACCAGAUAGUGGUAAUGUUUGCGCAACACUGCGAAUACACUUAAUACAGAUGUCUUGUAGACUUUAAAAUGGUUAAAAUGUCAUGUGUAUUUUACCGCGGUUAAAAAAAUCAACAACAACCUUAAACCCAA